rnacentral:rRNA from 1 species
AUUGAACGCUGGCGGCAGGCCUAACACAUGCAAGUCGAACGGUAACAGGAAGCAGCUUGCUGCUUCGCUGACGAGUGGCGGACGGGUGAGUAAUGUCUGGGAAGCUGCCUGAUGGAGGGGGAUAACUACUGGAAACGGUAGCUAAUACCGCAUAAUGUCGCAAGACCAAAGAGGGGGACCUUCGGGCCUCUUGCCAUCGGAUGUGCCCAGAUGGGAUUAGCUUGUUGGUGGGGUAACGGCUCACCAAGGCGACGAUCCCUAGCUGGUCUGAGAGGAUGACCAGCCACACUGGAACUGAGCCACGGUCCAGACUCCUACGGGAGGCAGCAGUGGGGAAUAUUGCACAAUGGGCGCAAGCCUGAUGCAGCCCUGCCGCGUGUAUGAAGAAGGCCUUCGGGUUGUAAAGUACUUUCAGCGGGGAGGAAGGGAGUAAAGUUAAUACCUUUGCUAAUUGACGUUACCCGCAGAAGAAGCACCGGCUAACUCCGUG